rnacentral:rRNA from 1 species
GCGAAGCGUGGGGAGCAAACAGGAUUAGAUACCUGGUAGUCACGCUGUAAACGAUGUCGAUUUGGAGGUUGUUCCCUUGAGGAGUGGCUUCCGGAGCUAACGCGUUAAAUCGACCGCUGGGGAGUACGGCCGCAAGGUUAAAACUCAAAUGAAUUGACGGGGGCCCGCACAAGCGGUGGAGCAUGUGGUUUAAUUCGAUGCAACGCGAAGAACCUUACCUACUCUUGACAUCCAGAGAAUUUAGCAGAGAUGCUUUAGUGCCUUCGGGAACUCUGAGACAGGUGCUGCAUGGCUGUCGUCAGCUCGUGUUGUGAAAUGUUGGGUUAAGUCCCGCAACGAGCGCAACCCUUAUCCUUUGUUGCCAGCACAUUAUGGUGGGAACUCAAAGGAGACUGCCGGUGAUAAACCGGAGGAAGGUGGGGAUGACGUCAAGUCAUCAUGGCCCUUACGAGUAGGGCUACACACGUGCUACAAUGGCGUAUACAAAGAGAAGCGACCUCGCGAGAGCAAGCGGAACUCAUAAAGUACGUCGUAGUCCGGAUUGGAGUCUGCAACUCGACUCCAUGAAGUCGGAAUCGCUAGUAAUCGUAGAUCAGAAUGCUACGGUGAAUACGUUCCCGGGCCUUGUACACACCGCCCGUCACACCAUGGGAGUGGGUUGCAAAAGAAGUAGGUAGCUUAACCUUCGGGAGGGCGCUUACCACUUUGUGAUUCAUGACUGGGGUGAAGUCGUAACAAGGUAACCA